rnacentral:lncRNA from 1 species
CUGGCCUUUCUUCAGUGGAUAAUAAAUUUGUAAUGUUGGGCUGUGGCUGUGGCUCAGUGGUAGAGCGCUUGUCUAUCAUGCAUGAGACACUGGGUUUGACCCCAGCACCACAUAAAUAAAUAAAUAAAUAGGUAGAUACAUAGAUAAAGGUAUUAUGUCCAUCUGCAACUAAAAAUUUUUUUUUAAAAAUUGUGAUAAAAACAGCAGUUAUAAGCUAAGUUAAAGGUAGAUUCGAGUUCUAAAUAUGAAGAUCCCAAAUUUUAACAUUUUAGGAAAAGGAAUGAGCACACACACACCUGCUUUAUAUGCACAAGCUGUCCCUGGCAGGACACAUGGGGCCUCCAAGACAGGGGAGCUGUUGUCAGGGAUGGUGGGGACAUACUUCAUCCCUCUCCAUUCAGACACUGUGGCAUGUACGUGUAUUAACAUUCUAGAGGGAAUUAAAGGACUGGGGAUGUGUCUCAAGCAGUAGCGCGCUCACC